CCCGAACCCGAGGCGCAAAGAGCUGUUUCGGAGGGCUUUAUUUACCCUAACGCGGUGGGCAGACUUUUAGCUGUGGAUGAGGCUCGCUUUUGGCACGUAUUUUCCAUCUCCAGGGCAUCGCCACCGAUCGUUCCUUAGAACAUAGCCCAGAUAGGGUGCCUUGAAAGCAGCUUCAUCCCAGCAGUAGUUUUGUACCACCACGCUAUUGGACAAGCCAGAACCUUACAUCUGUGUCAGUGUGCAGCCCCCUUGCUAACCUUUUAAUAAUCGCCUUUUAAAUACUUGCUGCGGCCUAGAUGCUGGUUAGCAACUAAGGACACCUUCUGAGUUUAGAUUUAUGAUUUCGAAGUACAGCUUUCGACAGGGAUCGAAUUGUAUCUCUAACAGACAAGAUAUAAUAUCCUGUGCUGAGGCUUUUAGCAAAUUUCUGGAAGGCUGUUAGAUAAUUCGCAAAUCAAGUUCCCCGCAGAUCAGAUGACACUGUGAUUGGAUGCUUGCCAUUUUUUAAAGUUC
rnacentral:lncRNA from 1 species